rnacentral:rRNA from 1 species
UACGUAGGGACCGAGCGUUUGUCCGGAAUCAUUGGGCGUAAAGAGCGUGUAGGCGGCCACUUAAGUCCUGCGUGAAAUCUUGCGGCUCAACCGCAAGCGGUCGUGGGAAACUGGGUGGCUAGAGUGCGGGAGAGGAGAGUGGAAUUCCUGGUGUAGCGGUGGAAUGCGCAGAUAUCAGGAAGAACACCCGUGGCGAAGGCGGCUCUCUGGAACGCAACUGACGCUGAGACGCGAAAGCGUGGGGAGCAAACAGG